rnacentral:rRNA from 1 species
UGGGGAAUUUUGGACAAUGGUGGCAACCCUGAUCCAGCAAUGCCGCGUGUGUGAAGAAGGCCUUCGGGUUGUAAAGCACUUUUGUCCGGAAAGAAAUCGCCCUGGCUAAUAUCCGGGGUGGAUGACGGUACUGGAAGAAUAAGCACCGGCUAACUACGUGCCAGCAGCCGCGGUAAUACGUAGGGUGCAAGCGUUAAUCGGAAUUACUGGGCGUAAAGCGUGCGCAGGCGGUUGUGCAAGACAGAUGUGAAAAUCCCCGGGCUUAACCUGGGAAUGGCAUUUGUGACUGCACGGCUAGAGUGUGUCAGAGGGGGGUAGAAUUCCACGUGUAGCAGUGAAAUGCGUAGAUAUGUGGAGGAACACCGAUGGCGAAGGCAGCCCCCUGGGAUAACACUGACGCUCAUGCACGAAAGCGUGGGGAGCAAACAGGAUUA